UACAGAGGUCCCAAGCGUUGUUCGGAUUCACUGGGCGUAAAGGGUGCGUAGGUGGUGAGGUAAGUCGGAUGUGAAAGCUCGGAGCUCAACUCCGAAAUGGCGUUGGAAACUACCUUGCUCGAGGGUUGGAGGGGGGACUGGAAUUCCUGGUGUAGCGGUGAAAUGCGCAGAUAUCAGGAAGAACACCCGCGGCUAAGGCGGCUCUCUAGUACGGUACUGACGCUGAGACGCGAAAGCGUGGGGAGCGAACAGG
rnacentral:rRNA from 1 species